UACAGAGGGUGCGAGCGUUAAUCGGAAUUACUGGGCGUAAAGCGUGCGUAGACGGCUAUCUAAGUCGGGUGUGAAAGCCCCGGGCUCAACCUGGGAAUUGCAUUCGAGACUGAAUAGCUAGGGUACGGUAGAGGGAAGCGGAAUUUCCGGUGUAGCGGUGAAAUGCGUAGAUAUCGGAAGGAACAUCAGUGGCGAAAGCGGCUUCCUGGACCAGUACCGACGUCAGGCACGAA
rnacentral:rRNA from 1 species